ensembl:snRNA U6 U6 spliceosomal RNA
GUACUCAUUUUAGUAGCACAAACUUAAUUUGAAACACUAUAGAGGUUAGAAUGGCACCUACGCCAAGAAUGACAUGCAAAUUUGUGAAGUGUUCCGUAUUUUC